UGCAACUCGGCUGCACGAAGCCGGAAUCGCUAGUAAUCGCAGAUCAGCAUGCUGCGGUGAAUACGUUCCCGGGUCUUGUACACACCGCCCGUCACACCAUGGGAGCCGGGAAUGCCCGAAGUCAGCGGCCCAACCGAAAGGAGGGAGCUGCCGAAGGCAGGCCUGGUGACUGGGGUGAAGUCGUAACAAGGUACC
rnacentral:rRNA from 1 species